UGGGGAAUAUUGGACAAUGGGCGCAAGCCUGAUCCAGCCAUGCCGCGUGAGUGACGAAGGCCUUAGGGUUGUAAAGCUCUUUUGGCGGGGAAGAUAAUGACGGUACCCGCAGAAUAAGCUCCGGCUAACUUCGUGCCAGCAGCCGCGGUAAUACGAAGGGAGCUAGCGUUGUUCGGAAUCACUGGGCGUAAAGCGCACGUAGGUGGGCAGUUAAGUCAGGGGUGAAAGCCCGAGGCUCAACCUCGGAAUUGCCUCUGAUACUGGCUGUCUAGAGUUCGAGAGAGGUGAGUGGAAUUCCUAGUGUAGAGGUGAAAUUCGUAGAUAUUAGGAAGAACACCGGUGGCGAAGGCGGCUCACUGGCUCGAUACUGACGCUGAGGCGCGAAAGUUAGGGGAUCAAACAGGAUUAGAUACCCCUGUAGUCCCUGAGCGGGCUGGCAAGGCGCAU
rnacentral:rRNA from 1 species